UUCAUGGCAACAGAACCCACAGCAACAAUGACUUCCAUCACCAUCUUUACCUGGACACUCCUCAUCUGUGCUCAAGAAUCCAUUGGACAGAUCACUGUGACUCAGACUCCAGUGCAACCUGCUCAGACAGGAGAAAGAGUCACUAUCACUUGUGUGACCAGUCCUGCGCUGUAUGGUAACAUCAACCUCAACUGGUAUCAGCAGACAGCUGGAGAAGCCCCUAAACUCCUGAUUUAUGGUGCAACUAACCUUCAGACUGGGAUCCCAGCUCGUUUCAGUGGCAGUGGAUCUGGGACUGACUUCAUUCUGACCAUCACAGGAGUCCAGGUUGAAGAUGCAGCAGAUUAUUACUGUCAGAGUGUACACUACCCCAACACACUGUGGUACACUUUCGGCGGCGGCACUAGACUGAGCGUUGGAAGUAACGCUCAGCCGUCUCUGUCUAUCCUGUCGUCCGCGAGCACGGAUGUAGCCUUGAAAGACGUCAAGCUGCUGUGUCUGGCCAACAAGGGCUUCCCAUUCGACUGGAGCCUGCAGUGGAAGGUCGACGGCAACUCCAGGAGCAGCGACGUCACCAAGACCCCCGGGUUCCUGGAGAGCGACGGCACCUACAGCUGGAGCAGCACCCUGACGCUGUCCGAGGCCGAUUGGAAAUCGCUGCACUCCGUGACCUGCGAGGCCAGCCAAGGGUCCCAGGCUACUGUCACAAAGAUACUGAAUAAAUCUGAGUGCACAGAGUAGCCCAGAGUGCACCGCCAGCUUCUCCGCGUGUCCUGCACAGAAUUGCUGAUGGUUGUGUUGUAUUCUUAGCUUUGUCUCCCUGACUGUAUCCUCGUUGGGCCACUUAGUACUCAGGCAUGUUUUCUGUUAGCAGUGUCUUAGAAGGAGUGUGCUCCUCCAUCACCUGCUGUCCAUGUGUGUUUUUUAACCCUGCUGUAAGAGCCAUUAGUGAGAGAAAAAUAAUAGUAAUAAAGAGUUUUUGAAUCAUA